CCCAAGGAGAUUCACAUUUGAGUCAGUGG
rnacentral:piRNA from 1 species